rnacentral:ncRNA from 2 species
UGAGACAAGUGAAUAUUAGUUCAUAUAGUAGCAGAGAUAAGGUCUGCAAGUUUCUACCGGGCUGCCGUAAAUGGUCCGACUAUGAGCGAAAGUGUACCUAGG